rnacentral:lncRNA from 1 species
UUUAUGAAGUAUAUUAUGUGAAAGUCGAAUGCCAUGCACUAUAAGCGCCAAUAGCAUCUCUAAUAUCUGUAUAUCAUCUAUCAAGCCUUACCAGAGGCUCAAUAUCCACCUUUGUUAUCUCAAUAAACAUCUCCUAAAGUUGAGACCUAAGUGCAUUUUUUUUUCCCUCCAAUUUCUAAUUGGAUCUUUGCUUGCAUGAGUUCCUAGUGCCACGUCAAGAUGAGGCAUUCUGGAACUCUUUAACAUAACUUUAUUU